UACGUAGGGGGCGAGCGUUGUCCGGAUUUAUUGGGCGUAAAGAGCGUGUAGGCGGCCAGGUAGGUCAGCUGUGAAAACUCGAGGCUCAACCUCGAGCUGUCGGUGGAAACUGUCUGGCUAGAGUCCGGAAGAGGAGAAUGGAAUUCCUGGUGUAGCGGUGAAAUGCGCAGAUAUCAGGAAGAACACCCGUGGCGAAGGCGGUUCUCUGGGACGGUACUGACGCUGAGACGCGAAAGCGUGGGGAGCGAACAGG
rnacentral:rRNA from 1 species